GAGGAAAAGAAACCAACAGGGAUUGCCUUAGUAGCGGCGAGUGAAGCGGCAAAAGCUCAAAUUUGAAAUCUGGCACUUUCAGUGUCCGAGUUGUAAUUUGAAGAAGGUAUCUUUGGGUCUGGCUCUUGUCUAUGUUUCUUGGAACAGAACGUCACAGAGGGUGAGAAUCCCGUGCGAUGAGAUGUCCCAGACCUAUGUAAAGUUCCUUCGAAGAGUCGAGUUGUUUGGGAAUGCAGCUCUAAGUGGGUGGUAAAUUCCAUCUAAAGCUAAAUAUUGGCGAGAGACCGAUAGCGAACAAGUACAGUGAUGGAAAGAUGAAAAGAACUUUGAAAAGAGAGUGAAAAAGUACGUGAAAUUGUUGAAAGGGAAGGGCUUGAGAUCAGACUUGGUAUUUUGUAUGUUACUCUCUCGGGGGUGGCCUCUACAGUUUACCGGGCCAGCAUCAGUUUGAGCGGUAGGAUAAGUGCAAAGAAAUGUGGCACUGCUUCGGUAGUGUGUUAUAGUCUUUGUCGAUACUGCCAGCUUAGACUGAGGACUGCGGCUUCGGCCUAGGAUGUUGGCAUAAUGAUCUUAAGUCGCCCGUC
rnacentral:rRNA from 1 species